GUGCCUUCGGGAACUGUGAGACAGGUGCUGCAUGGCUGUCGUCAGCUCGUGUUGUGAAAUGUUGGGUUAAGUCCCGCAACGAGCGCAACCCUUAUCCUUUGUUGCCAGCGAUUAGGUCGGGAACUCAAAGGAGACUGCCAGUGAUAAACUGGAGGAAGGUGGGGAUGACGUCAAGUCAUCAUGGCCCUUACGACCAGGGCUACACACGUGCUACAAUGGCGCAUACAAAGAGAAGCGACCUCGCGAGAGCAAGCGGACCUCAUAAAGUGCGUCGUAGUCCGGAUUGGAGUCUGCAACUCGACUCCA
rnacentral:rRNA from 1 species